rnacentral:lncRNA from 1 species
AUUAUAUAACUUUGCCUGAAACCAACAGCACGCUCAUUGCACAUAUCAUGGGCUCAUUUAUUUCACUUAUAAAGAACCUGGCCAAGGAAGAGAUAGUGCCUAAAGUGGCCAGUAUUCUGACCGAUAUGUUAGAAAAAUGGUGUGCCGACCAAUUCAUGACAUGUGUCCCAAAACUAGCAACGGAAAUUGUAUUCGCCGUGUUGAGGUCUCUAAUCCAGAUGAUGCUCAUCUAUGUACUGGAAAAGGCAGAGUCCUUUCCUGACAAGCUGCUGAAACUCUUCAGAAACAUCUCAUAUUUCCUGAAGAAGAUGAUGUCUGGACAAGCAGCACAGGAGGAAGAGGGUAAUCCGGAUGAGUUUUCUGACCUACUCGGCGGCUGUGAUUAAACAACCACCAGGAAAUUUUGACGACACUGUUCUCCUGAGCUCCUCCCUUUCCUCCGGGAACAAAACAAUUGAAUUUACAAAAAUAAAGUGUUAUUUGACUGGAGUGAGGUCUCAUGUCUGCUUAUGCGGUGGCUCGCUGCUCAGAACAGGAUGGCAGAGAUGAGCACCACCAUCAAAAACUCAAGGACCAGUGCUGUGGGUCCAGUCAUCUGUUUCAUGGAAUUCACCAGUCUGGUAUCUUCAAAAUCCAGAAGGAUGAUGGCAGAUGGCAGGAAGGAACCAUUGGAGAUACUCAUUACUCUUUGAAGGCUUACAGUGGAAUGAAUUCAAAUACGACUUAUUUGAGGAAUUGAAGUUGACUUUAUGGAGCUGAUAAGAAUCUUCUUGGAGAAAAAAAGACUGGUACUUCUGAAUUAACCAAAAUCACAGUAUUCUGAAGAUGAUUCUACAAAGCCUGCUGUUUCUACAAAGGCUGCUGAUGAUUUCUACAAAGCCUGCUGUAGUGUUGCUGUGGCCUCUGCUUAAAAAAGUAGAAAACACAUUGAUGCAGCAUGUUCACCCCAACCUCCCUGCCUAAAGGCUCAGGGACCAUCUUGGAAGAGGAAGGCGCGUGAGAUUGUAAGAGCCGAAUUAGGGGGAUGGAGUGUGGAGAAUAAGGACACUUCAUCUUGGAUGCUCACCUGCCAAAUUGACUUCUGAUGAAAGCCAGCUCCAGAAAUGUGCCUACAGUUACUACUUUCACCUAAACCCUGCCCUUAGUCAAAUCCUUCUCUUCUUCUAAGCAAUCAACUUCAAUUCCUUGUAUAACCCACAGUAUAAAAGGGCUUUUAUACCAUUCUAUCCUAUUGCAUGUAAGCCUUGGGUCUGGGAGGUAACAGUGUGGGAUUCCACCAUCUCAUCUCCCUGCCACCCAAACAUGCCUGCUCUUCUUUAAGCAAUAUUAAAUGUUUGUACUUCAGAAA